rnacentral:pre_miRNA from 1 species
UCUUAUGGAUGAGCAAAGAAAGUAGUUUCUUGAGAUGGAAUCUACUCCUGGUAAAGAUACUGUGAC